rnacentral:rRNA from 1 species
CGGCGGACGGGUGAGUAGCGCGUGGGUAACCUGCCUCAUACAGGGGGAUAACAGUUAGAAAUGACUGCUAAUACCGCAUAAGACCACAGCACCGCAUGGUGCGGGGUAAAAACUCCGGUGGUAUGAGAUGGACCCGCGUCUGAUUAGCUAGUUGGUAAGGUAACGGCUUACCAAGGCGACGAUCAGUAGCCGACCUGAGAGGGUGACCGGCCACAUUGGGACUGAGACACGGCCCAA